CUGUACUGCCACAAAGAGCAUCUGUGGAACAGAGACUGAAUUUUUUUUCAUUUCGUCUGUGGGGGAGCCAAUUUAUAGUCCUUCCAACGACCUGCGGAGACUGCAUGAGAAAUACCACCUCCCAUUUAUCACCAGCCAGGCUGCCAGGAGGGAAUUUGAGACGGCCACAAAGAGGCUCACAGAUGCACAGGAGAGCAUCGUGGUGAAUUAUCUGGCCCACUCAGAUGGUAUUGCAGAGAAAUACUAGAGGAUACUGACACAUGACAACAUCUGCUCAGCCACUGAAGUCAUUGAAGGUAUUGCAGAGGAGGGAGCUCAAUCAACACCAACAUCCGCUGUGGCAGCUGCAGGAUCUGGAAAUCCGAAGAUGGAUGAUGCCACAGCCUUCCAGGAGCUGACAUGGGAGUUUCCAGUGUCGUUAGACGGGCAGCUUCCCAGAAAGAAAGAGCGCCUGAGACUGACUGAAAGUCAUGAUCGUCACUGUUACAACAGACCAUUACGCUAUACGGUUACAAACAGAAGGCCAGGUGACCCGCUAUUUUCAAAAGAUGAGCUGGACUGCAAAUACACCAACAGCAUCCGAAGAGCUUGAGAACUGGAAGCCCAACACAGAUGCACAACCAAAUGAAAGGCAAAUUAACAAAGCUUUGCCAUUCUUAACAUGGGGAGGACAAUAUCUCCACCUUGUGGUAAUUGUUGGU